rnacentral:misc_RNA from 1 species
UGGACGACGAUGAUCGUACCGUACUGAUCGAUGACGUCAGUCAGUCGACUACGUAGCUCGCUGGAUCGCCAGCUAUCAGAUGACGGUCGCAGCCGACAUCGAUAUCGUCACGAGACUACUGGCUGACAGUCCGACGAUCAGGAUGGGUUCCUCGGCGAUCACAGUGUGCAUGUCGUCGUCAGCUGGUCGUGAGAUGUGUUAGUCCGCAACGAGCGCACCUCGCCGUGUGCAGCGAUAUGCCGGGACUCACGGGACGCGAGUACUCGAGGAGUGGAUGACGUCAGAUCAUCAUGCCCUUACGUCAAGGCUCACGCAUGCUCCAUUGCCGUACACGGGAUGCGCCAGCCCGAGCUGGAGGCGGAUCCCUGAAAACGGUUUCAGUUGGGUCGCAGUCUGAACUUCGACUGCGGGAGGGGGGGGUCCUAGUAUCCGCGAUUAGGAACCUCGGGGGUAAUUGCGUUCCCGGGCCUGUACCCACCGGCCGGUAAGGUCAUGAAAUUGGCCGCCACCCGAAGCCGUGGGCUUACCCCCUGCCGGGAGGGAGCGUUUAAAGUGAAGGUUGGGGAUGGGGCCUAAUUGGUACCAAGUUACCGUUCCCGAAAGUGGGGCUUGGUUCCCUUCCUUCCUCCGGGGAUUCCGCCGGAAGGUUCUUCGGCCGGUCCUUGCCCGGGGGUCGCGCCGGUGGGGCCGGUUGGGGGCGGUGGGGGGGAAGGGGUCCAGGGCCUUUGGGGGCUUCGUUGGGGGAAGUUUCCGCGGGAGGGGGGGGGAGGGGUUUUUGGGUUCCGGAUUCCCCCCCCCGGCCUUGGGCCUGGCGCGAUUCGAUGCCCAUCGUGCCUGAUGGCGGGCUGGUCCCGUCCGGACGGCGUGGUGGUGCGUGGUGGCUUGAGAACUGGAUAGUGGACGCGAGCAAGACGGGGUUUCCUUUGAUUCCUCGUUCUUGCUGUUGAUUUCGAAUCGAACUCUAUUUUUAGUGUUUGUUUCGAUCGUUUUGUGAUCAUUUUAGUGUGAUGAUUUGUCGUCUGGGAAUUUGCUAGGAAGGAUCCUUGCGGCCAUGCGCACCGUGUGGGCCU